GUCCUGAGGUUAAGCAGCAAUUUGGUGAGUUUUGAGGCUACCUUUCCAUUCCUCUAUGUUAUCUUUUGAAUGUUUAGCACUGGAAUUUGACAAGUUGGUUAUAUCGACAAUUUGACGAUAUGAUUGUUUUUUUACUUUCCAACUCUUUCACCCUCCUAAUUUCUCUUACUCUUUUACCCUCAUAAUUUCUCUUUUUCUUUUUCAUCUCUCUCCAUCAUUUCAUGUGCUUAUGUAUAUAUAAUGUGUAUAAAACUUAGUUAAAAUUGUGCAGUCCAGUUUCCAGAAUCCUUGAGCUCAAUGUGUUUAUUUGGCCUGAUUGUAGUUAUGGUGAAUUAUUUAUUCAAUUUUAAGCGUUCUGCGGUAAUAUUAUUAAUGAUGCUGUCGGCUUUUUCCUAUCAUGUCUGUUACUAAUUUUCUUUCCUCUGUUGUACCUUUUUACUAUCACUCUUGGAAAUGAAUUACUCGUUUCUCUCUAUCUCUCUCUUUCUCUC
rnacentral:misc_RNA from 1 species